UCCUACGGGGGGCAGCAGUGGGGGAUAUUGCACAAUGGGGGAAACCCUGAUGCAGCGACGCCGCGUGAGUGGAGAAGUAUUUCGGUAUGUAAAGCUCUAUCGGCAGGGAAGAUAAUGACGGUACCUGACUAAGAAGCCCCGGCUAACUACGUGCCAGCAGCCGCGGUAAUACGUAGGGGGCAAGCGUUAUCCGGAUUUACUGGGUGUAAAGGGAGCGUAGACGGCAAUGCAAAGCCGGAGUGGAAUGCGGCAGCUCAACUGAC
rnacentral:rRNA from 1 species